rnacentral:rRNA from 1 species
GACGAACGCUGGCGGCGUGCCUAAUACAUGCAAGUUGAGCGCCGAAGGUUGGUACUUGUACCAACUGGAUGAGCAGCGAACGGGUGAGUAACGCGUGGGGAAUCUGCCUUUGAGCGGGGGACAACAUUUGGAAACGAAUGCUAAUACCGCAUAAAAACUUUAAACACAAGUUUUAAGUUUGAAAGAUGCAAUUGCAUCACUCAAAGAUGAUCCCGCGUUGUAUUAGCUAGUUGGUGAGGUAAAGGCUCACCAAGGCGAUGAUACAUAGCCGACCUGAGAGGGUGAUCGGCCACAUUGGGACUGAGACACGGCCCAAACUCCUACGGGAGGCAGCAGUAGGGAAUCUUCGGCAAUGGACGAAAGUCUGACCGAGCAACGCCGCGUGAGUGAAGAAGGGUUUCGGAUCGUAAAACUCUGUUGGUAGAGAAGAACGUUGGUGAGAGUGGAAAGCUCAUCAAGUGACGGUAACUACCCAGAAAGGGACGGCUAACUACGUG